UUGCAAAUAUACCAAAGGGAAACGCCCCAAUUCCAAAGGACAUCUGGAAGCCACCAUCACCAAAGCCAAAGCCCUGGAAUCCCUGCAGAGAACAAAGCAGCAGGAGACAAAAAAGACCGUUCUGACAUUUACUACACCCGAGAAUCAAGCAGAUGAACAGUUAAGAAACAAGGAACUCUACUGCAAGUCAGCUUCCUAAAUAAAAAAGUCUGGUGGAGCUGAAGAAGACAUGGAGGUGAAGAUACAUGAGACGGUGGAACUGGUCCUCCGGGAGGCACACGGGACACUGGGACAGCCGGGAGCUCGGGAGGUCCAUGAUGGGGGUGGCUUUAGGAAGGAUCGGUUACAGCCCAAAGAUCAGCCAAGCCUGAGGCGGGAGGUGAACGGCUGCCAGGAGGGUGACAACGAGCUCCACACAACUGCAGAGUUCAGAGCACACGUGGCCAAGAAACUGGGAGCAAUGCUGGACAGUUUUGUAACUGUCUUGAAGGACUCAUCAGGACCUUCUCAGACCUCUGUGCCACAGUCUGACUCUGCAGAUGAUGGUUUUCGCCUCUUCUCCUCCUCUGUCCCUGGAGACUGUGGGAAACCAGAGCCUUGCCCUGCAGCAAGGAGGAGGCGCCCAGUGAGCUCCAGUGACACGGACAGUGAGCAGGAGUGGCAAAGGUUCCAGGAGGCUGCUGUGUCAGCUGCAGAUAUUCUGAAGCAAAGUGCUUUUCCUGCACUAUCCCAGGAUUCCAGCCAGGAUCAGAGUCAGGGUUGUGUAGAGCACAACCAGAAAAAAAAGAAGAAGAAGAAGAAAAUUAAGGGAGAGAAAAAUAUUCAAGAGAAAAGAAUAGACCCAGUAGAGUGUGACCAAAUCUGCAAAGAUUUGCCUCGGUUGCUGUCUGCAAAUGGACAGCAGGAGAGACAGAACAGCAAUCAUGGAGACAACUCAGUGCUGCCAGGAACUGUGAAGAAGAAAAAGAAGAAGAAAAAAUUAGAAUGAUGGUUUUAUUCUGCAAACAGCAGGCGGUUGUGAUGGAUGAAGGAAAUGAAAGAAAACUUAACAACAAGAGUUGCUGCAGAGGAGGGAAAAUUAAUUGGCAGAGCUUCUGUUCUAAAAGCUCAGUGGCCUGAGAGACUAAUUAAGUGCCUUCCUGUGCUGCUGGCACCGCUGAGGAAGGGAACAUUGUUCUCCUCACACGGCAGUUGUCUGUGCUGCUGCUCGUGCAGGCCAAGCCUAAAAGGACGAAAUCCUGUGCCAGACUUGUGUGACAGAGGGGUGUAAUCCCAGCUGCAUCCCUCCUGCUCUGUCUUCACAUCAUGAAACCAAAUCUGGUGUCCUGGAGAAAGUACCUGAUGAAUUGAAUUUGGUUUACAUGGCAACAGACAAAAAGCUGUAAGGAACCUUUAGUAAGAAUAAACACCACGAGGUUAAACAGUGGGACAAACCACCUUGAUAUCAGUUUUAGAAGACAGAUGUAGAAGAUUUCCAGGACCUCAUAAAAGACUUAUUUUUUUCAGCAAGAGACCAGAAGGCAGCAAAAUUCUCAGGUGGGUUCUGAAUUGCUGCCUUGGACCAGACCCUGCUCAAACAGAGGUUCAGAGCUGUGAAGUGCUUAGGACCAUCCUCUGGCCCUUUCCUCAGGAGCUGCAAGCCCUGCACAGCCUGGAGCCGGGCUGGGCACAGAGGGAAGGCAUGGUCUGCACCCAGAGCACCACGUGGCCUCCCUGCAGGGCCUUAACAAAGCUCAGAUGGACACAGAAGACUUUCUUUGCGUGGCUAAAAAGAAGUAACAGUUCGGAGUCCACGUAAAAACAUGUAAUGAUUCCUUAUACACACAGAAGUCCUGAUGCUGCUGCUUCUGCUUGCCUUGGAGACCUUCAGCUGCAGAGGCUUUUUUUUGAAACCAGUGAACUUUGAAGUCUAUAAACCCAGAAGUGAACAUCUGUUUUUAUGCUGGGACCUCACUGAACGCUACAACUGGAUGCCACGUGGAGAACUGAAUAUGGAAACGUUUUAAAUACUAAGGAGGAGCACAAAAUACAGGGGGAGAAGCCCUCAGAGUCCAGCACCAUCUUAAUGACAGCACUGUUUAACUAGGACAGAAGAAUCCCAGGCGUCACCUCCACCAAGACCAAGAGAACCUGUGUUGCAUAUGCAGCAUCCUCCUGCUGCUGCAUCCCAGAACUUCAGGUGGCUGCAACAUGUUGCAGUUUCCUCUGCAUUGAUGCAGGAGCUGAGCUAGCAAGGAUGAAGGGAUCCACCCAGGACUACACAGCAGCUGCUGACAGAACAGAGUUACGUCAUGUCCAACUGUAUGUUCAAACUGGCUCUUGUCCCUCCCACGCUGGAAGGAACAAUGAAUGGGAAUGCACAGCUGGACUGGGACAACUGAUCCAAACUGCACAAAGCCCCACUUGCACAAACUGCUGCAAGUGAACUCCCAGGAGGUGGGAGCAGAACACACCACUUCUGCAUUUGGCAGAAACAAGGAAGGACGGAGGGUUCGGCAGCAGAAACCGGGGAGGGGAGAGACAAGAUCAGUGUAAAUGUAGCAGUUCCCCUGCCUGGGACUUGUGCAGGUUUGAUACAGGGCUGGUGAUAACACAGAGCAUGUAAUUUUUAUUUGGUCAAAGCACAUGGAACGUUAUUUUCCUUCCUUAAAAACCCACUUCGAGCAUCUCAUCCUACCGAUUUUACUUGGUUUCCAAGAGCGCAAAUUCAAAAACACGGCAAUCUCCAGAAAUACCUGUGAAUUUAAUAAAUUAAACCGCCGGCGUGUAUGAACUACCUUACCUGAACGGUG